rnacentral:rRNA from 1 species
AGUGAACGCUGGCGGUAGGCCUAACACAUGCAAGUCGAACGGCAGCACAGUAAGAGCUUGCUCUUACGGGUGGCGAGUGGCGGACGGGUGAGGAAUACAUCGGAAUCUACUUUUUCGUGGGGGAUAACGUAGGGAAACUUACGCUAAUACCGCAUACGACCUACGGGUGAAAGCAGGGGAUCUUCGGACCUUGCGCGAUUGAAUGAGCCGAUGUCGGCUUAGCUAGUUGGCGGGGUAAAGGCCCACCAAGGCGACGAUCCGUAGCUGGUCUGAGAGGAUGAUCGGCCACACUGGAACUGAGACACGGUCCAGACUCCUACGGGAGGCAGCAGUGGGGAAUAUUGGACAAAGGGCGCAAGCCUGAUCCAGCCAUACCGCGUGGGUGAAGAAGGCCUUCGGGUUGUAAAGCCCUUUUGUUGGGAAAGAAAAGCAGCAGGUUAAUACCCCGCUGUUCUGACGGUACCCAAAGAAUAAGCACCGGCUAACUUCGUG